CCUACGGGGGGCAGCAGUGGGGAAUAUUGGACAAUGGGGGGAACCCUGAUCCAGCCAUGCCGCGUGUGUGAAGAAGGCCCUCGGGUUGUAAAGCACUUUCAGUGAGGAAGAACGCCUGGUGGUUAAUACCCAUCAGGAAAGACAUCACUCACAGAAAAAGCACCGGCUAACUCCGUGCCAGCAGCCGCGGUAAUACGGAGGGUGCGAGCGUUAAUCGGAAUUACUGGGCGUAAAGCGCGCGUAGGUGGCUUGAUAAGCCGGUUGUGAAAGCCCCGGGCUCAACCUGGGAACGGCAUCCGGAACUGUCAAGCUAGAGUGCAGGAGAGGAAGGUAGAAUUCCCGGUGUAGCGGUGAAAUGCGUAGAGAUCGGGAGGAAUACCAGUGGCGAAGGCGGCCUUCUGGACUGACACUGACACUGAGGUGCGAAAGCGUGGGUAGCAAACAGGAUUAGAUACCCCAGUAGUC
rnacentral:rRNA from 1 species